UCUCUUUCAUAUCCUGACGAACUUGCCUAUAUAGGUACUGCCGACUUGUCGGCUAUGGCGAUAAGCGAUGCGUGGAAUAAUCGUUGUGGACCCGGGGGCGGUACCCGGCGCCUCCACCAAUUUUCCGGGAAACCGGGAAUAUUUGGGGGCGAAACAGUCUCGACACGCGUGGUAAAGACCCAUCUUUUGCUCGGCAUUGUACCGCCGUUAUCGGGCUAUAACUUAAAUGCGAACGAUAACAACGUAGCAUUCGCGGUCGCUGCCUAAACAGCAGCUAAGCG
rnacentral:tmRNA from 1 species